rnacentral:lncRNA from 1 species
ACCACCAUCAUCAUCAAGACCAUCAAGUACCACCACCAUCUCCCCCUUUUUGUCAGAAAGCGCCAAAAUGACAAAAGAAGGAACUCGGUAACUCCUAAUCGGAAGCAUCCCCUGGAGGUAAAUCUGCUCGGCAACACCCUAACUUGUCAAAAAUCAUAUUCAAUAAACGCUUCAUCUUGCUCACAUCCUUCCAAAUCGCAGCUUGCUCCGCAGACAAUUUCUGAAGCUCCUCAGAUAGACGUUGUUGCUCACGAUACACAGAGGAAACUAAGAUAUCUUCCUCGGAAAUGUCCAUAGAAGGACGUGAAGAAGUAGCAGUCGCAGGAGGUGGAGCAGCAGGAGGGGAAGAAGCACGCUGAGACGGUGUACGAAGCUGCACCGAG